rnacentral:rRNA from 1 species
UACGGGGGGGGCAAGCGUUGUUCGGAAUUACUGGGCGUAAAGGGCUCGUAGGUGGCCAACUAAGUCAUACGUGAAAUCCCCCGGCUUAACCUGGGAACUGCGUCUGAUACUGGAAGGCUUGAGUUUGGGAGAGGGAUGCAGAAUUCCAGGUGUAGCGGUGAAAUGCGUAGAUAUCUGGAGGAAUACCGGUGGCGAAGGCGGCAUCCUGGACUAACACUGACGCUGAGGCGCGAAAGCUAGGGGAGCAAACGGG